AUAAUAGAUUUUGAACCCAGUUAAUCAAAUAGGCCGAUGGCCUAGGUUGGUGACUUCCAUUGCACUUUGGAAGGGCGCCCGCCUAAGGUCGGCCCAAGUGGCCGAGCCUACGUCAUAAUUUAUGGCAGCGGGAGCCUGCGUUCAUGCGGCUCCUA
rnacentral:snRNA from 1 species